AUUGAACGCUGGCGGCAUGCCUUACACAUGCAAGUCGAACGGCAGCGCGGGGCAACCUGGCGGCGAGUGGCGAACGGGUGAGUAAUAUAUCGGAACAUACCCUAGAGUGGGGGAUAACGUAGCGAAAGUUACGCUAAUACCGCAUACGCACUAAGGUGGAAAGUGGGGGAUUCGCAAGAACCUCAUGCUCAUGGAGUGGCCGAUAUCUGAUUAGCUAGUUGGUGAGGUAAAGGCUCACCAAGGCGACGAUCAGUAGCUGGUUUGAGAGAACGACCAGCCACACUGGAACUGAGACACGGUCCAGACUCCUACGGGAGGCAGCAGUGGGGAAUUUUGGACAAUGGGGGCAACCCUGAUCCAGCAAUGCCGCGUGAGUGAAGAAGGCCUUCGGUGUAAGACUCUUUGUUCAGGGAAGAAACGGUAC
rnacentral:rRNA from 1 species